rnacentral:tRNA from 1 species
GUUAUCGCGGCAGACGAGAUGCGGUGCAGGCCUUUUGGGUAGCUCAUCUCCCGCGAUAGCU